AAGCUUGAAUCGAUUUUGAUCGGAGCUUCUCUCUCCAUUUUGAUUACGAUCCGGAUCUUGUCGGACUUGAGCCACUCGCCGCAAUUAUACCCUCCGGAUGUCGACCACGGCGGGAUUUUGUACACUGCGACCUCGCGCAUCACUAGCAGCUUAAGAAUCCUCGUCGUCGCAGCCGCCGCGAUCCAUCUCCUUCGUCACUAUAAGCUCGAUCUCCCCUCCGAUCUCCUCUCCUCCAAACCCUCCGAUUAGUGCUGGACCUCCAAAGUGUUAGAAGGGACUUUGCAGUCUGAGCAUUAUCAGUAAUCUGGGAGUGCUGCUUAUCCUUUCUUCAAGCUCGGAGAAAUCGUCACCACCAUCCCUACCAUCAAGAUGGCGAAUAGAACAUCAGCUUCACUUUGUGGGAUGUAGGGGGUUAGGACAAGAUCCGUCCAUUGUGGAGGCACUACUUCCAGAACACUCAAGGUCUUAUUUUUGUGGUUGAUCGCAAUGACAGGGAUCGAGUUGUUGAGGCAAGGGAUGAGUUGCACAUGAUGUUGAAUUAGGGAACUGCUGUGGAGUUUCUCUCUCAACUAUCUCAAGAUAGCACAGAGGAAGAACUCUUGGUGUUAACAUUGUUGAAUAGUAUUAGAUACUAGGCAUCAGGUCUAGUAAGGGAGGUUGUUCUAUACAUUUUAUAUUUCAUAUUUACAGAUGAAAUUCUAUCAGCCAUAACCAUUUGUACCGAGGGAGGUGACAUUUAGAGCCCCUUGCACAUUAUCAUUUUAGGCUUGUAAUUUGUAUCAAAUAACAAAUUACUGGUGUUUUCUUAUUUUAUCCAAAAAAAAAAAAAGGUCUUGAUGCUCAUUAUGUUAGCGAUCAUGACUUGUGGGAUU
rnacentral:lncRNA from 1 species